rnacentral:rRNA from 1 species
AAGCUCGUAGUUGAAUUCCGGGGUUAGUAGGUUGGUCAUGCCUCUGGUAUGUACUGGUCUCACUGAUUCCUCCUUCCUUAUGAACCGUAAUGCCAUUAAUUUGGUGUUGCGGGGAAUUUGGACUGUUACUUUGAAAAAAUUAGAGUGUUUAAAAGCAAGCUAACGCUUGAGUACAUUAGCAUGGAAUAAUGAAAUAGGACGUUCGAUCUUAUUUUGUUGGUUUCUAGGAUUGACGUAAUGAUUAAUAGGGAUAGUUGGG